rnacentral:lncRNA from 1 species
GGAGAACCGAGGCAGGGAAGCUGGUUCCUGGGCACCUGCAGGAGUUGUACUGAGAGCAGAACGGGGUGGCACUGGUGCUUAGUCUGUGAAAAAGGCUGUGUGUCCUGCCCUCCGUUGGGAGUGGCUGCCAUGGAGGCACUGCAGAAUGCACUCGCAGUUGUAGCUUCGGCAAGUGUGGAAGGUGAGGCGAAGCCCCUGGUAGGGCAGGACAGCUGGCCUGCACUCCUGUCUGACCAUUCCCCAACCCUUGCGAUCUUCGGAGCAGAGCUGAUGCGAUCAUGGGUAAGGCAACCCUUUUAUUCCACUCUCAGGGAUCACUUCCUCCUCAACAUGGGGGCCAAGUUUAACUCACACUCAUCUCUACUUUGUGAGGGAAAAGGAAUGGCCCAGUCAACAAAGCAGGGAGCAAAGCCAGGAAUCUCUUCACUGGUGUUUUUCAUCAGCCAUAACUGUCUGCCAGGGAUAAUGCUGCAGUUAAGCAUCCAAGAAGUUCCUUGAAGAAAGGCACCUGCUUUCCUAGCCUUUACAGCUCCCUAAAUGUUCCACAUUCUUAG